rnacentral:rRNA from 1 species
AGUCGACGGCAGCACAGUAAGAGCUUGCUCUUAUGGGUGGCGAGUGGCGGACGGGUGAGGAAUACAUCGGAAUCUACUUUUUCGUGGGGGAUAACGUAGGGAAACUUACGCUAAUACCGCAUACGACCUUCGGGUGAAAGCAGGGGAACUUCGGGCCUUGCGCGGAUAGAUGAGCCGAUGUCGGAUUAGCUAGUUGGCGGGGUAAAGGCCCACCAAGGCGACGAUCCGUAGCUGGUCUGAGAGGAUGAUCAGCCACACUGGAACUGAGACACGGUCCAGACUCCUACGGGAGGCAGCAGUGGGGAAUAUUGGACAAUGGGCGCAAGCCUGAUCCAGCCAUACCGCGUGGGUGAAGAAGGCCUUCGGGUUGUAAAGCCCUUUUGUUGGGAAAGAAAUGCAGCCAGCUAAUACCUGGUUGGGCUGACGGUACCCAAAGAAUAAGCACCGGCUAACUUCGUGCCAGCAGCCGCG